GCCAUGCUGCUGCGUGGGCAGCGGUCUGGGCGGCGGAACGGUCUGCUCCUGCCGAGCAGCGCGGCAACAUGUCUAGCUCCGGCCAGGCGGCGCGGCUGGCAGACCUGCUGCUCUGAGCGGCAUGGUGCUUCUUGAAGCUACAGCUGCUGACCUGCUAAUCACUCUCCUGCAUUUUGCUCUUGUGGGAUGGAGGCGACAAAGGAGGAGGUGGAGAUGGAAGUGAUCUGAGCUUCCCUAAGGGACCUGACUGUGUGAAAAGCUUUGCUGGCAAAUUCUCAUCCCUCCUGUCUUUCAGACUCACAACCUAAGGGCUGGUGGGCCUAAGUGAUCCCUACUGCCAAGGACACAAGAAACAGGGACAACAAACACCAAGCCUGUCUGAAUUUUGUAUUUAAAACUCUCCAGAUGAAAUAUUGCUGGUGGUUUUAUCUCAGCCCCCCGGGGGGGGACAUAGCUCCAGAUGCAGGACGCAUGAGUGCUGGGAGGAAAGUGACUAAGAUCAGCUGGUCUGCAUUGCUAGAAAAGAGUGUCAAUUUCCCCAUUGAUAUUUUGCCACUUUCAAGCCUUAAGAACAGGGACAUUUCAGCUUUUGGAGGGCUGGAAAUUUGGAGCUAGAUCUACGUUUUGUGGCUUGUGCCCAUUUCUACUUGAAGUUAAAUGACCACUGUCAUAGGCAAUUCUACUACAAAGAAACAGAGAAAUUGCAUUCCUGGAUCAGACCCGGUCCAUCUAGCCCAGUGUCAUACCUCUAACAGUGCCAGCACCAGCUGUUCCAGAGAUGCCAGCUGAUCAAUGCCCAGGCUGAACCUCUCACCAGGCUAGAUUUUGACAGAGACUGUGCCACCAAGCAGGGGCUUGAGUGGGAGUCAGACUCCUCAAUGCCCCCCACAACAUACGGAUUUGAACAGACA